rnacentral:rRNA from 1 species
UGGGGAAUCUUGCGCAAUGCGCGAAAGCGUGACGCAGCAACGCCGCGUGAGGGAAGAAGGCCUUCGGGUUGUAAACCUCUUUCAGGAGGGACGAAGGUUCAGGCGCGAACAGCGACCUGGACUGACGGUACCUCCAGAAGAAGCCCCGGCUAACUACGUGCCAGCAGCCGCGGUAAUACGUAGGGGGCUAGCGUUGUCCGGAAUCAUUGGGCGUAAAGCGCGCGUAGGCGGCCCGGUAAGUCCGCUGUAAAAGUCAAAGGCUUAACCUUUGAAUGUCAGUGGAUACUGCCGGGCUAGAGUCCGGAAGAGGCGAGUGGAAUUCCUGGUGUAGCGGUGGAAUGCGCAGAUAUCAGGAGGAACACCAACGGCGAAGGCAGCUCGCUGGGACGGUACUGACGCUGAGGCGCGAAAGCGUGGGGGAGCGAACAGGAUUAGAUACCCUGGUAGUCCACGCCGUAAACGAUGGGCACUAGGUGUGGGAGGUGUCGACUCCUCCCGUGCCGGCG